rfam:Parcubacteria (Magasanikbacteria) bacterium GW2011_GWC2_45_8 TX20_C0025, whole genome shotgun sequence.
CUUAUUGAGAGUUUGAUCCUGGCUCAGGAUGAACGCUGGCGGCGUGGUUAAGGCAUGCAAGUCGAACGGACGCAUUGGUGAUUACAUCAAAGAUGCGUUAGUGGCAAACGGGUGAGUAACACAUUGGUAACCUACCUUCAAGACGUGAAUAACUGCGCGAAAGCGCGGCUAAUACACGAUGGUCAUGCGGGGACAUAAGUCAUUCGCAUGUAAAGAUCCAAAAGAUUGCUUGAAGAGGGGCCUAUGGCCUAUCAGGUAGUUGGCGGGGUAAUAGCCCACCAAGCCUAUGACGGGUAGCAGGCGUGAGAGCGCGACCUGCCUCACUGGGACUGAGACACUGCCCAGACACCUACGGGUGGCUGCAGUCGCGAAUCUUCCUCAAUGGCCGAAAGGCUGAAGGAGCGACGCCGCGUGCAGGAUGAAGGCCUUCGGGUCGUAAACUGCUUUUGCAGGGGACGAACGUAUGACGGUACCCUGAGAAUAAGAGGUUGCUAACUCUGUGCCAGCAGCAGCGGUAAUACAGAGACCUCAAGCGUUAUCCGGAUUUAUUGGGCGUAAAGCGUCCGCAGGUGGUUUGAAAAGUCAUUGGUCAAAUCUUGAAGCUCAACUUCAAGACUGCUUGUGAUACUUUCAGACUAGAGGAUGGGAGAGGCGAGUGGAAUUACCGGUGUAGUAGUAAAAUGCGUUUAUAUCGGUAAGAACACCAGAGGCGAAGGCGGCUCGCUGGAACAUUCCUGACACUCAUGGACGAAAGCGUGGGGAGCAAAACGGAUUAGAUACCCGUGUAGUCCACGCCCUAAACGAUGGAUACUAGGUAUUGGCAGUAUCGACCCUGUCAGUGCCGGUGACAAUAGCUAACGCGUUAAGUAUCCCGCCUGGGAAGUACGGUCGCAAGACUAAAACUCAAAGGAAUAGACGGGGACCCGCACAAGCGGUGGAGCAUGUGGUUUAAUUCGACGGUAAGCGAAGAACCUUACCAGGGCUUGAACUGUAGCUGCAAAUCCCAUGAAAGUGGGACUCCUUCGAGGGUGCUAUAGAGGUGCUGCAUGGUUGUCGUCAGCUCGUGCUGUGAAGUGUACCGUUAAGUCGGGAAACGAGCGCAACCCCUAUGCUGUGUUAAAUUGUACACAGCAAACUGCCUUGGAUAACAAGGAGGAAGGAAGGGAUGACGCCAAAUCAGCAUGGCUCUUACGUCCUGGGCCACACACGUGCUACAAUGGGAAGUAACAAAGGGUUUUGCCAAGUCGCGAGACGGAGCUAAUCCCAGAAACCUUCCCCCAGUUCAGAUUGGAGUCUGCAACUCGACUCCAUGAAGUCGGAAUCGCUAGUAAACGCCGAUCAGCCACGCGGCGUUGAAUACGUUCUCGGGUCUUGUACUCACCGCCCGUCAAGCCAAGGGAGUUGGCAAUGCCUGAAUCUCGUUUUCACGGGAGAGGGCAGGGUCAGCAACAGGGGCUAAGUCGUAACAAGGCAUCCGUAGCGGAAGCUGUGGAUGGAUCACCUCCUUU